rnacentral:rRNA from 1 species
AUUGAACGCUGGCGGCAGGCCUAACACAUGCAAGUCGAACGAGGGGCAGGCGGGUGAGAAAUGUCGGGGAAAGUGCCUGAGGGAGGGGGAUAACUACGGGAAACGGUAGAUAAUACCGCAUACCAGCAGAUGUGCCCAGAGUGGAAUAGCUUGUGGGUGGGGUAACGGCUCACCAAGGCGACGAUCCCUAGCUGGUCUGAGAGGAUGACCAGCCACACUGGGACUGAGACACGGUCCAGACUCCUACGGGAGGCAGCAGUGGGGAAUAUUGCACAAUGGGCGCAAGCCUGAUGCAGCCAUGCCGCGUGUAUGAAGAAGGCCUUCGGGUUGUAAAGUACUUUCAGCGGGGAGGCGUUACCCGCAGAAGAAGCACCGGCUAACUCCGUGCCAGCAGCCGCGGUAAUAC